rnacentral:rRNA from 1 species
CAUGCAAGUCGAACGGAAAGGCCCAAGCUUGCUUGGGUACUCGAGUGGCGAACGGGUGAGUAACACGUGGGUGAUCUGCCCUGCACUUCGGGAUAAGCCUGGGAAACUGGGUCUAAUACCGGAUAGGACGAUGGUUUGGAUGCCAUUGUGGAAAGUUUUUUCGGUGUGGGAUGAGCUCGCGGCCUAUCAGCUUGUUGGUGGGGUAAUGGCCUACCAAGGCGUCGACGGGUAGCCGGCCUGAGAGGGUGUACGGCCACAUUGGGACUGAGAUACGGCCCAGACUCCUACGGGAGGCAGCAGUGGGGAAUAUUGCACAAUGGGCGCAAGCCUGAUGCAGCGACGCCGCGUGGGGGAUGACGGCCUUCGGGUUGUAAACUCCUUUCGCUAGGGACGAAGCGUUUUUGUGACGGUACCUGGAGAAGAAGCACCGGCUAACUACGUGCCAGCACC